rnacentral:rRNA from 1 species
GACGAACGCUGGCGGCGUGCUUAAUACAUGCAAGUCGAACGGACAGACCCUGCUUUUGUGGCGUGCUCGAUUGCCGAACGGGUGAGUAAAACGCGUGUAACCUGCACUUAACUUUGGGGUAACAUCUGGAAACUGGGGCUAAAACCCGAUAGAAGCUCUUGAUGCACGUUGGUGGUUGGAAAGUUGCGGCGGUUGGGGAUGGUCUCGCGGCUUCUGCGCUUCUUGGUGGGGUAGGUGCUGACGAAGGCUUUGAAGGGUAGCCGGCCUGGGAGGGUUAACGGGGACAUGGGGACUGAGAGAGGGCGCAGACGCGUACGGGAGGCAGCAGUGGGGAAUAUUGCGCAAUGAGCGGAAGUCUGAGGCAGCAACGCCGCGUGCGGGAUGACGGCUUUCGGGUGGUGAACCGCUGUCGACUGUGACGAAGACGGAGUGACGGUAACGGGUAAGGAAGCCCCGGCUAACUACGUG